UGAAUAUACCGGUUCUCGUUAGAUCACCGAAGUCAAGCAUCAUUGGGCGCGCUCAGCACUUGGGCGGGUGACCACCUGGGAACACCGCGUGA
rnacentral:rRNA from 1 species